GUGUUCGUUGAUACCGGAUGUUGGAUUGAUGUUAGAAGACAAAAUUGCGGUACUGCAUCGGUGGAAUGGUGUUGGAAUGUAUAGAAAAGUUAGGGGUACAAGGCAUACAGAAUGGGGCCAAGAAUUUUCCCUUGUGGGACUCCGCCGUGUGUGAAUCUGAUAUCAGAGUAUUCUUUGCCGCACCUCUCUCUACAUCAGCGGUAUUAGCCAUGCAGUUUUUAUUGAUGGAGAGAGGACCGAGUAAAUAAGGCGCCGAGACCCGACGUUUCCCCCCCCCCGGCCACUACUCCACCAUUUAUUGGCUACCACGGUAAACAGACGAAAAAGAGGUUCAGACAAGUUAAUAGGAUCCUUAUUCCCCCUAAGAAGGCCUACAUCAAAGCGUGACUCCGGAUCCAAAUUAAAACCAUCCCGGUGGGGAAAAUAAACAAAAAGUGGUUACCAAAUAAAUAAAAUAAAAUAAAACACACAAAAUAGACCAUUACAUAAAGACGUCCAUGGACGAGAUGCCGGGACAUUCAUUUCAUGAGAUCAGACUGAAUAUAUUUCAUUAAUAACGGGCU